UACUUUGCUAGGAAUAAUUUUUUUUAACUCUACUCUAAUAAUGCUUCACUCUCUCAAUAUGUUAGAACUCUCAAAAAUCUUAUUGUUUCCUUACUUACCUGAUUAAGUGGAACGUGUCUCAUUACUUAGCCACUAUAGGGAUACAUUUAUAUAUCUUAUAGUAUUGGGUUUUUUCUGAUCAAAGUACUAAAGAGUUUGUUAUAUGAUUGUAAACAAAUUUUAAUGAGAUUGUUUGGCAUUUCGGUGCUUAUUCAAUCAAUACUUAGAAUUGAGUAUAACUCCUAAUACUCAGGUAUGAUCCGAUUUACGGACAUUGCUGGGUAGGGAGUUUGACUGGGGCGGAGGCGUCCCAAGGCCAACUUAGUGCGGACAGAAACCGCAUAAGAGUAAAAGCUGACUUAAUUUCGGCGUUCAGUUCAUAGAGGUGCAGCAAAAGCUCGGCCUAUGUUUUAAGGAGCCUUUAACAAGAGUUGUCGGAAAAGUUACCACAAGGAUAACUGGCUUGUGGCGGCCAAACGUUUAUUGUGACGUCGCUUAUUGAUCUUUUGAUGUCGGCUCUUCCUAUCAUUGUGACACAAAACCCGACGAAUGUUGAAUUGUGCACCCAUUCAAGUAAACGUGAGCUGGGUUUGGGCCACCGUGAGACGGAUUAGUUUCACCCUACUAAUGACAAUGCGUUGCUGCCGCAGCAUUUCUGCGUAGAACGAGAGCAACCGCAAGUACGGACCAAUGGCGCAAUAUUUGUUUGAGCGAAAAGUGUUACGACGCUACGUCUACUCGUUUAAGCCUGAACGCCUCUAAGGUCGUAUCCGAGCGGGACUACAACAGUAAAGA
rnacentral:ncRNA from 1 species